rnacentral:rRNA from 1 species
AAAAGACACAGUAUUUUGACUGUGCAAAGGUAGCAUAAUCAUUAGUUUUUUAAUUAAAAGCUUGUAUGAAAGGCUGGACGAGGUAAAAUCUGUCUCUAUCUAAAUUAUAGUAGAAUUUAACUUUUAAGUUAAAAGGCUUAAAUAUUAUUAAAAGACGAGAAGACCCUAUAGAUCUUUAUAGCUUAUUAAAUUAAAUUAAUUUAGAAAUAUUAAUGUUUUAUUUAACUAAGGUAUUUUAUUGGGGUAAUAAAAAGAUUAAAUAAAUUCUUUUUUAUAAUAAACAUUAAUUUAUGAAUAUUAAUGAUCCAGUUUUACUGAUUAUAAGAUUAAGUUACCUUAGGGAUAACAGCGUAAUUUUUUUAGAGAGUUCAUAUCGAUAAAAAAGUUUGCGACCUCGAUGUUGGAUUAAAGAUUAUUUUAGGUGUAGAAGCUUAAUAAUUUUGGUCUGUUCGACCAUUAAAUCUUUACAUGAUCUGAGUUCAGACCGGCGUAAGCCAGGUCGGUUUCUAUCUUUAAUAAAAUAAAAUAUUUUAGUACGAAAGGACCAAAUAUUUAAUAUAUUUAUAUUUAAUUUACUGAAUAUUA